rnacentral:rRNA from 1 species
UUAUGAUUUAAAUUUUAACUAGAAUAAAAGUAGUUAUUUUCUUCAUAACUCAAAGAAUUUGGCGGUUAAUUUAAUUUUUCAGAGGAACCUGCCCCAUUAUUGAUAAACCACGAUAAUUUAUACUUAUAGUUUAUUUGUAUAUCUCUAUGGUAUAAGAGUGUUUUUUUAGAUUAUUCUCUUUUUGGUUAUAUUCUUUAAUUUUAGGUCAAGGUGCAGUUUUUUAUAAGAAGGUGUGGGUUACUUAAAUUAUAAAUGUUUAUUUUUUUUGUUUUAUCAAUUAUUUUAGGAUUUGAAAGUAAUUUGAUUGAAUUUUUUCUUUUGAAUAUAUUUUAGUUAAUGU